CAGAUACAUUAAAUUCUAACAGUGAUAAAAGAAAAAUAAAGUUAUUCUAUAGAGAUCCUCCAGCCAGGCCAAAACAUCUCCAACCUCAUUUCUUUCGAGUUUCACAGCCAUUACCAAGGCUUGGGUGCGACAAAAUUUCCUAAGGGUUCGUUUGAACCCCUGGCCAAUACCAAGUACCCAAAGUAUCAUUAUUAGACAUGUGCAAGUGUGGAAGUGCCAGCCUUAUGCAUCAAAGUUCAAUGGGCGCUCAAGGGCUCCAAAGGCAAUGCUUACACAAAGGGGGCAGUACUUAGUGUUCUAAGAGUAGUGAAGCUGUGAUAGGAUUGAGAGAGUUUAAAACAAUUGAGAGUCAGUUUAAGAAAACAGUCCAAGAAAAGAGUUGAGAGACAGUUUGAGGAAAUAGUUUGAAAGAGUUGAAAGGAGUUCUUUUGAAAGCAUUGAUACUAACUAGUUUAAAACAGAGCAUCACACAAACAAGGGGGAAAGGGGAAGGGAAAGAUAAGUACAGGGAACUACC
rnacentral:lncRNA from 1 species